AUUCUACUAAAACUGUCUCCCCAUCACCUGCCUUUCUUGAUGAAGAAGAAUUCAGUGACUUUAUGCAGGGGCCUGUUGAAGUUCCCCCAUGUGGGCCUUCUUCCACGUCCCAGCCCUUUCAGUCUUUCCACCCCUCCACCCCACUUGGCCAGUUGCAUACACAGAAGGCUGGGACACAGCCUCUCCCUCCAAGUCAGAGUCCAGUGCCUUUUGCCUUACAUGGCGUCCCUGGGCAAAUUCCUUACUUCUCUACUGCUUCAGCCUCACACAGUGUACCAGAAGCAGGUGUGGGAGUAUUUCCCUCACAGGAUCCUGCUCAGCCCAGAAUGCCUCCUUGGAUUUACAAUGAGAGUUUGGUUCCAGAUGCCUAUAAGAAAAUCUUAGAAACCACAAUGACUCCAACUGGAAUAGAUACUGCCAAACUGUAUCCCAUUCUGAUGUCAUCUGGGCUUCCCAGGGAAACUCUUGGACAGAUAUGGGCCUUAGCUAAUCGAACUACACCUGGCAAACUUACAAAAGAAGAACUUUAUACCGUUCUAGCCAUGAUAGCGGUAACACAGAGGGGCGUUCCUGCAAUGAGUCCUGAUGCUUUAAACCAGUUCCCAGCAGCUCCUAUUCCAACUUUAAGUGGCUUUUCUAUGACUCUGCCUACACCGGUGAGUCAGCCAACUGUGAUACCUUCAGGUCCUGCGGGCUCCAUGCCCCUCAGCCUUGGACAGCCAGUCAUGGGCAUUAACCUUGUUGGACCAGUGGGUGGAGCUGCAGCCCAGGCUUCUAGUGGUUUCAUACCAACCUACCCUGCAAAUCAGGUAGUAAAGCCAGAAGAAGAUGACUUCCAGGAUUUUCAAGAUGCUUCUAAGUCAGGAUCCCUUGAUGACUCAUUCAGUGAUUUCCAAGAGUUGCCUGCUUCUUCAAAAACAAGUAACUCCCAGCAUGGAAACAGUGCCCCUUCUUUGUUGAUGCCACUUCCUGGAACUAAAGCAUUGCCUUCAAUGGACAAAUAUGCUGUGUUUAAAGGAAUUGCAGCUGACAAGUCCUCUGAAAAUACUGUUCCACCUGGAGAUCCUGGUGAUAAAUAUAGUGCUUUCAGAGAACUUGAACAGACAGCAGAGAAUAAACCUUUAGGAGAAAGCUUUGCAGAAUUCAGAUCUGCAGGAACUGAUGAUGGUUUCACCGAUUUUAAAACAGCCGAUAGUGUAUCACCACUAGAGCCACCAACAAAAGACAAAACUUUUCCACCAUCCUUCCCCUCAGGAACUAUACAACAGAAACAACAAACACAAGUGAAAAACCCUCUGAACUUAGCAGACCUAGAUAUGUUUUCCUCAGUUAAUUGCAGCAGCGAGAAACCAUUGUCUUUUUCAGCUGUGUUUAGCACAUCAAAAUCAGUUUCUACACCACAGUCAACAGGUUCUGCUGCUACUAUGACAGCAUUGGCAGCAACAAAAACUUCUAGUUUGGCUGAUGAUUUUGGAGAAUUCAGCCUUUUUGGGGAAUAUUCUGGUCUAGCACCUGUUGGGGAGCAGGAUGACUUUGCAGAUUUUAUGGCUUUCAGUAAUAGCUCUAUUUCAUCUGAGCAAAAGCCGGAUGACAAAUAUGAUGCCCUUAAAGAGGAAGCCAGUCCUGUUCCUCUAACCAGCAACGUGGGCAGCACAGUGAAGGGUGGACAAAACUCGACUGCUGCGUCUACCAAGUACGAUGUCUUCAGACAACUUUCUCUGGAAGGGUCUGGACUAGGUGUUGAAGACCUGAAAGAUAACACUCCUUCA
rnacentral:misc_RNA from 1 species